CCUACGGGAGGCUGCAGUGGGGAAUAUUGCACAAUGGGCGCAAGCCUGAUGCAGCCAUGCCGCGUGUGUGAAGAAGGCCUUCGGGUUGUAAAGCACUUUCAGCGGGGAGGAAGGCGGUGAGGUUAAUAACCUCAUCGAUUGACGUUACCCGCAGAAGAAGCACCGGCUAACUCCGUGCCAGCAGCCGCGGUAAUACGGAGGGUGCAAGCGUUAAUCGGAAUUACUGGGCGUAAAGCGCACGCAGGCGGUCUGUCAAGUCGGAUGUGAAAUCCCCGGGCUCAACCUGGGAACUGCAUUCGAAACUGGCAGGCUAGAGUCUUGUAGAGGGGGGUAGAAUUCCAGGUGUAGCGGUGAAAUGCGUAGAGAUCUGGAGGAAUACCGGUGGCGAAGGCGGCCCCCUGGACAAAGACUGACGCUCAGGUGCGAAAGCGUGGGGAGCAAACAGGAGUAGAUACCCUGGUAGUC
rnacentral:rRNA from 1 species